rnacentral:rRNA from 1 species
UUAAAAGACCCGGAGCUUGGCGGCCGCUAAACAUGCAGUCGAGCGCGAACGCCCUUCGGGGGUUAUUAGAGUGGCGGACGGGUGAGUAACGCGAGGGAACCUGCCCUUCGGUACGGAACAACGCCUGGAAACGGGUGCUAAUACCGUAUACGCCCACCUUGAUUGGUUUCUUGGUGGGGAAAGAUUUAUCGCCGAAGGAUUGGCCCGCGUUAGAUUAGCUAGUUGGUGAGGUAAGAGCUCACCAAGGCGACGAUCUAUAGCUGGUUUGAGAGGAUGAUCAGCCACACUGGGACUGAGACACGGCCCAGACUCCUACGGGAGGCAGCAGUGGGGAAUAUUGGACAAUGGGGGCAACCCUGAUCCAGCGAUGCCGCGUGAGUGAUGAAGGCCUUAGGGUUGCAAAACUCUUUCAGGGGUGACGAUAAUGACGGUCACCCCAGAAGAAGCUCCGGCUAACUCCGUGCCAGCAGCCGCGGUAAUACGGAGGGAGCUAGCGUUGUUCGGAAUGACUGGGCGUAAAGCGCGCGUAGGCGGAUAGACAAGUUGGGGGUGAAAGCCCGGGGCUCAACCCCGGAACUGCCCUCAAAACUGUCUGUCUAGAAUCCUGGAGAGGUGAGCGGAAUUCCUAGUGUAGAGGUGAAAUUCGUAGAUAUUAGGAAGAACACCAGUGGCGAAGGCGGCUCACUGGCCAGGUAUUGACGCUGAGGUGCGAAGGCGUGGGGAGCGAACAGGAUUAGAUACCCUGGUAGUUCACGCCGUAAACGAUGGGUGCUAGGUGUCGGGCAGCAUGCUGUUCGGUGCCGCAGCUAACGCGUUAAAGCACCCCGCCUGGGGAGUACGGUCGCAAGAUUA